rnacentral:rRNA from 1 species
AUUGAACGCUAGCGACAGGCCUAACACAUGCAAGUUGUGCGAAUUUAAAAAAAAAUUAGCAGCGAACGGGUGAGUAAUAUGCAAGAAUCUGCCUUUUAGUAUUGGAAAGUAUAUAGAAAUGUAUAGUAAUCCAAUAUAUAUCCUAAUGGAUAAAGUAUGGGAUAGCCAUAUGCUAAUAGAAGAGCUUGUAUCGAAUUAGUUAGUUGUUGAAGUAAAGGUUUAACAAGACUAUGAUUCGUAGUUGAUCUUAGAGGAUGAACAACCACAUUGGGACUGAGACACGGCCCAAACUUUUAAGGAAGGCAGCAGUGGGGAAUAUUGGACAAUGAGCGAAAGCUUGAUCCAGCUAUGUCGCGUGUGUGAAGAAGGCCUUAGGGUUGUAAAACACUUUCAACAAAGGAAGAAGAAAAAAUAAAAUAAAAAAUAUUUUUUUUGACGUUAUUUGUAAAAGAAGCACCGGCUAACUUCGUGCCAGCAGCCGCGGUAAUACGAGGGGUGCAAGCGUUAAUCGGAAUUAUUGGGCGUAAAGGGUGUGUAGGUUGUUUUUAAAAGUUAAUUGUUAAAUAUAUUAAAGUAAUUUAAUAUAGCGAUUAAUACUAAUAAACUUGAGUAUAAAAGAAGAGAUUAGAAUUUCGGGAGUAGCAGUGAAAUGCUUAGAUAUCUGAAAGAAUACUAGUGGCGAAGGCGUUUUUCUAUUUUAAUACUGACACUAAUACACGAAAGCAUGGGGAGCAAACAGGAUUAGAUACCCUGGUAGUCCAUGCAGUAAACGAUGUCAACUAUUUAUUAAAUAACAUAAUUAUUUUUUUUUUAUUUUAAUAAAUAAAAAUUAUGUAUUUUUUAGUGAAAAAGCUAACGCGUUAAAGUUGACCGCCUGGGGGAUUACGACCACAAGGGUUAAAACUCAAAUGAAAUUUGACGGGGGGCUCGCACA